rnacentral:lncRNA from 1 species
CUCAAAUUCAUUCAUGUUGGGUUGCUACAGGUCUUGGCAACCUGGGAAUACCAGAUUUGUGCCAAAUGUGAGUGUGGUGUUGAAACUUCCACGUAGAGCUUCAUAUCUUGUUUCGUUGAUUCCCGUUGAUCCGUAGCUCCGUUUGCAAAGUUCUUUAUAUGGUUUUGCACCGUUUUCACGAGCCGCUUCUGUUCAUGUCAUUCCCAUGCAUGUCAAAAUAGCUUAGUGCACAGUUCUGUCCAGAAACUUCCAGUAGUUUAUUUUGCUUGUGCUAGUGAUAGAAAUAGUGGUGCAUGCUCAACUUUCAUCUCAUGCAUCAUGUGAUUGUUGCAUCUUGUGGUGCUGCUGUUCAUUGGCUGUUAUUCUUAUGUUGGGUAGCACCGGGAGCGGAGAACGAAUACGUGGAGUCAGGAGAGUACGUGCAGGACGAUCCAGAACCAUUCCAAGCUGAGGAUAUCACAGGCAAGAUGAUAUGACCUUGAUUCCAUCUCUAGACUUGUUAUGUUAGUUUCGUUUCCAUGUCAUAUUGCUCGCUGCCUACCACUGAAAUUAAAUUGCCUCUUCAUAUGCCAUGAGCCCAAACACCGUACUCCUUUCUAGCAAACUUGUGUGGCUAAGUAGGCUUGCUCAGCUACUAAUGUUAGCAUUUGUUAGUUGCAGGUGCUUUGCCUCAUGUGAUAACAUGAACUGGAUAUCAUUAUCUUAAAUUUUGUUAUUUAUUUAAUGCACCUAUAUACUUGGUAAAUAACGGGAGGCCUAGCCUUUUGCCGGGUGCUUUAUUCCGUUAUUGCCGCCUUAGUUACCGGUUACCGGUGUUUGAUUCCAAAAUGAUCGCUCCUAACACGUUCGGGGUUGUUACGGGGACCCCCUUGAUAAAUCGCGUAGUGCUAAGGCUUGUCCGGCAGGACCCAACAUUGGUGUUAAUUUACUAAUCACUUAAUAAUAAACUGCAUAGGGAAUAGCUACCCCGAGGAUCUAAUCAACAACCCGGGCCAGUGCUCCUCAUGAGUGUUGGUCCAAACUGGGCAAACUAUGGGGCCAUCACACGGCAACCUGAGGUUUGGUAUACCUGUAGUGUGACUCAUCCGGCGUGUCCUGAGACUGAGAUACGCGGCUCUUAUCAGGGUCGUCGACACGUCGGGAGGUCCUGCUAGCCUUGACUUACCUUAGUGGUAUAUCUUACGUAUAGGAAUCCCAGUGAAGCUUUGGUUUUCCCCAGAGUUGAGGUUUUCCUCUAAGGAAUCCGACGAGAUCACGAGAUUCGUGAUAGAGGAUGCCUUUGCGGCCUGUGUUCGUUUGUGAUGGACUAGUUGGAGCACCCCUGCAGGGUUUAAUCUUUCGGAAAGCCGUGCCCGCGGUUAUGUGGCAACUUGGAAUAUUUUGUUAACAUCCGGUAUUAGAGAACUUAAACUUAAAUAAGCAAAACUGCCAACUGUGUGCGUAACCGUGACUGUCCCUUCGAAGAUCCCUCUUCGAUUGGGAACACGGUGGGGUUAUGAAUGCCGUAGGUAGGUGUUCAGGAUCUCUUACUGAUCAAGUAGCUCCGAUCGUUAGCGUAGACCACCUUCCCUUCUACUUUGCGUAAGUUAGCCACUUAUUCAAACAUAGGAUGCAGCAGCCUGAUACACUUCUCCCUUCCCUACCCAAUAACAUGACUAGUUCUGGCACCAAGGUCUUAGAAUGCUGAGUCCCCGUGGCUCACGGAUUCCUCCGUAACUCCCAGCAGGUACAGGUACCCCAGAGACAGAUGAUCCCGACGGCACCCAGCUGGCGUGGCAGUACGACGAGGAGACAGACCGCCUCUACGUGAACUAUCCAGAGGCCUGAGCCAUGGUCGUGAUUGUGGGCCUGCAGCAGGGUAGCAUAGCAUUUUCCAUGUUUUGUAGUCCGUACCGAAACUACCUUGUUUGUAUCUAUGUUGUACUCUGAGUUAUUAAUAAGAAGACAGUUGAAUCC